CAGUCGCACAGCAGCAGCGACCGGAGACGGCAGUGUAGCCAGCCUGUCCUGCCCGCACACCCGCACACCCCACCGCCCGCACACCGCCCGCCGCCGCCACACCGCCGACCCUGCACCGCCCCGCCCCGCUGCCCCGCACACACACACACGCACACGCACACACGGGCACUAUUCUUGCGGCCGCGUGCGUGGGUCGUCCUGCACAGCCUCGUCUAUUUUGGAGUGAGUGUCUGGCGCCGCGCCACCCCUCGCCGCCCCUCGCCGCCUCAGUCUGCUGGAGGCGUGGCCGCGACGUGCUGCGCCCCGCGCCUCGUGCCGUGACCGCUAACACUUGGAGGCAGUGUGUGUGUCCGUGCAGCAGCCGUUUGAACUUGGCGGCAGCCUCGUCAGCAGCAGUGUGGUGUGUGGUGUGGGUGGCGAUAGCACAAGCCCCGCCCCGGCCGGCGAGGCCCCUCCCCCGGUGACCACAGGAGGCUCUCAGGUGGGUCCAGGAUGUACGGGCCAGCAGGUGCGCCAGAGUACUGUCAGGAGGAGGACGAGAUGGCCGCCACGGAGCGCGAGCUGGCGGAGGACGCGCAGUGGAAGCGUAUCCAGCAGAACACCUUCACGCGCUGGGCCAACGAGCACCUCAAGCAGGUGGCCAAGCACAUCGGGAACCUGGAGACCGACCUCAGCGACGGCCUGCGGCUCAUCGCGCUCAUCGAGGUGCUCUCCGGCAAGCACCUCCCCAAGCACAACAAGCGCCCGAACUUCAAGAGCCAGAAGCUGGAGAACGUGUCCGUGGCCCUACAGUUCCUCGAGCGGGACGAGAACAUCAGGAUCAUCAACAUAGACUCUUCGGAUAUUGUGGACUGCAAGCUCAAGCUGAUCCUGGGACUGAUAUGGACGCUCAUCCUCAACUAUUCCAUUUCCAUGCCCAUGUGGGAAGGGGAGGACCAGGUGGCGCCCGGGGAGAAGGGGCCCUCACCCAAGCAGAGGCUCCUGCACUGGAUCCAGAGCAAGCUGCCGGACCUGCCCAUUACCAACUUCACCAACGACUGGAACGAUGGCCGCGCCGUGGGGGCCCUCGUGGACUCCGUGGCGCCCGGCAUGUGCCCCGAUUGGCCGGACUGGAUCCCCGCCGACGCUCUCAACAACGCCACCGAGGCCAUGAACCUCGCCGACAACUGGCUGGGCGUGCCGCAGCUGAUCACGCCCGAUGAGAUGGUGAACCCCAACUGUGACGAGCAAUCUAUGAUGACCUACCUGUCCCAGUACCCCAACUGUAAACUGAAGCCAGGCGCCCCUCUCAGGCCGCGCACCAACUCCUCCAAUCGGAAAGGAAAAGGCAACCCAAUGGUGCGCUGCUACGGGCCGGGCGUCGAGCCGUCGGGUCCAGUGGUGGGCGCCCCGACGCACUUCACCAUCGAGACCUUCAGCGCCGGGAAGGGCCGCGUCGAGGCCUACCUUCAGACGCCCGACGGACAGCGGGAGACGCUGGACUGCAAAUUCAACAACGAUCGCAACCUGACCUACUCCUGCAAGUACACGCCGCAGUGCGAGGGCGACUUCCUGGUGCUCGUCAAGUUCAGCGGCCGCGAAAUCCCCAAGUCACCAUUCCGCGUCAACGUGUCGGGCUACGCCGGCGACCCGUCCAAGGUGACCGCCUCGGGGCCCGGCCUGGAGCCUGAGGGCGUCAUGAUCAACAGGCCCACCUACUUCGACAUCUUCACGAAGGACGCUGGCAAGGGCACCCCGGAGGUCAUCAUUCUCGACCCCGCCGGCCACAAGAACACUGUCCCCGUUAAGGUCAGGUCACUGGGCGAGGGAACAUACCGGUGUGAGUAUGUGGCCACGGGCAUCGGUCUUCACUCCAUCAAUAUUUUCUUCGCUGGCCAAUCCAUCCCCGGCAGUCCUUUUGGGGUCAAAGUCUCCCCGGUGAGUGACGCCCGCAAGGUGAGGGCCUCGGGCAGGGGUCUGCAGCCCUGCGGCGUGAGAGUGAAGGACGCAGCGGACUUCAGAGUGUACAGCGAGGGUGCCGGAGAGGGGAGUGUAGAGGUGAAAGUUAUCGGACCAGGUGGCGUACACGAGAGCAUCAAGACCAAGCAGAUUGACGCCCACACCCACGAAUACAUCUACCACCCCAAGAAAGAAGGGCGCUAUAUUGUCAUGGUGACCUACGGUGGACAGGAGAUCACCAAGAGUCCCUUCGAGGUGAACGUCGGUCCCUUCAAGGAGACCCGCAUCCGAGCCUAUGGGCCUGGUCUGAAAGGCGGCGUGGUGGGCUACCCUGCGCUCUUCACGGCUGAGACCAACGGAGAGGCCGGCACACUGGGCUUCAGCAUUGAGGGACCAUCACAGGCCAAGAUUGAGUGCAACGACAAUGGUGACGGAUCCGCUGAUGUGCGCUACUACCCCACGGCCAAGGGAGAGUACGCCCUCCACAUUCUCUGCAACAACGAAGAUAUCCCAGGCUCACCAUACAUCGCCAACAUCCUGCCCCAGACUGACUACUACCCAGAGCUGGUGAAGUGCAAUGGUCCCGGUCUGGAGAAGCACGGCGUUGUCUCGGGCAAAACCGUGGAAUUUCAGGUGGACACAAGGCAGGCUGGGGACGCACCUCUGGACGUAACAGUGAUCGACUCAGCCUACCAGUCGGUGCCUCUGGACGCCAAGGACAACAGGAACGGCACCUAUGAUUUCUCUUAUAGACCAACACGAGGCAACAAACAUACCGUCCAGGUAAACUACGGAGGUGUCGCCACUGAGAACUCACCUUACCGGGUCUUCGUGUCCGAGCCGUCCGUGCCUGGCGCUGUCAAGGUCUUCGGGCCUGGCGUAGAGCGUGGGGUGCGGUCAAACACUGCCACGCACUUCAACAUUGAUUGUCGAGAGGCUGGCCCAGGAGAGGUGGAGAUUGCCCUUACCAACGCUCAAGGUCAGGACAUUCCCAUUGACAUCCGUGACAAUCGCAACGGGACCUUUACCGUGGACUACCAGACCCCCAGUCCAGGCGAGCACCGGGUCACUGUGCUCUAUGCCGGUGCCGAGAUCCCGCAGUCGCCCAUUCUGGUCCCCGUGCAGUCCAACGUUGAUGUCACCAAGGUCAAGGUCGACGGAUUGGAGCCAACCGCGCCCAUCAACUCUCUGCAGCAGUUCAGGGUCAUCACGCAGGAGGCCGGCCGCGCGGACUUCGCCGUCUCCAUCACGUCGCCGUCCGGCAUGCGGGUGCGCGCCCAUGUGGUGCCGACCCACGAGGGCUACCUGGUCAACUUCACGCCCACGGAGCUCGGGGAGUACCUGCUGUCCAUACAGUUCGGCGGGCAGCCCAUCAGCUCCGUGCCGUACCGCUUCACCUGCACGCCGGGGGCCAACGCGGCGGCCGUGCGGGCGUGGGGGCCAGGCCUGGAGGGCGGGAUGGUGUGCCGGCCGGCGGAGUUCGUCAUCGACACGCGGGAGGCGGGGCAGGGCGGCCUGGGCGUGACGGUGGAGGGGCCCUGCGAGGCGGCCAUUAACUGCAGGGACAACGGGGAUGGCACCUGCGCCGUGGCCUACCUGCCCACGGAGGCCGGCCAUUACACCGUCAACAUCACCUUCAACGACCGCCACAUCCACGGCUCGCCCUUCCACUCCUACAUCGCGCACGACCAGGACAUCAAGCACAUCAGAGUCACGGGGAACGGCAUUCAGCCACACGGUGUGUUUGUGGACUCCCCGACGGACUUCGUGGUGGACACUCGCGCCCUCGCCAACCUCAAGAAGGAUAGCAAGGGCGGCGCGGGUACAAGCGACGGCAAGGUUAUGUGUGUCAUCACCAACCCCUCCGGCACUCGCACGGACUCCUUCCUGCGCCCACUCACUGACGGCACCUACAAGAUAUCCUACACGCCCUUCGAGGAGGGCCGGCACACCAUUGACCUCCUCUACGACGGGGUGCCAGUGCCAGGUUCGCCGUUUACCGUCAACGUUCGACGCGGCUGUGACCCCAACAAGUGCCAGGCAUUCGGACCCGGGCUGGACCGCGGCUACGUGAACCAGGUCAACACAUUCACCGUGGAGACCAAGGGAGCCGGUACUGGAGGCCUGGGUCUGGCCGUGGAGGGCCCGUCGGAGGCCAAGAUGACCUGCAAGGAUAACAGAGAUGGUUCCUGCACGGUUGAGUACAUUCCCCUCGAGGCCGGCGAUUACGAUGUGUCCAUAAAGUUUGCCGACCAGCACAUUCCUGGCUCGCCCUUCAAGGUGACCGUGGACCAGAGUGUGGACGCCUCCCAGGUGGUGGUGUGGGGGUCUGGCCUGGAGCCUGGCAAGGUGCGCGCCGGAGUGCCGCUCACCUUCCACGUGGACGGCACCAAGGCUGGUCAGGCGCCCCUCAAGGUGGACAUUGCUACAGAGAAGGGCCCCAUCCCGAAGGCCCCGGAGGUGAGGGAUAAUGGCGAUGGAACUUACGAUGUGACCUACACCCCCCACAACGAGGGUGCCAUGCAGACCGCCAAUGUGACCUGGGGAGGUAGACCCGUCCCUGGCAGCCCCUACCGCACAAGGGUGAAGCCCACUGUGGAGCCCAACCGAGUGCGUGUGUCUGGGUCGGGAGUGUCCAGCAAGGGCAUCCCAGCCUCCCUGCCCACGGAGCUGCUCAUUGAUGCCUCCGACGCUGGCCUGGCUGACCUCAACGUGACUGUGACGGGCCCCGACGGACACCCCCGGAAAGUGAAGGUGGUGGACAACGCUGAUGGGACCUUCUCGGCCUCCUAUGUGCCUGAUGACUGCGGGAAGUACAAGGUGUCCGUCAAGUAUGGUGACCAGGAGGUGGGACACUCGCCCUUCCCGGUGCAGGCCUACGCCACGGGCAAGGCCGACAAGUGCAAGAUCACGGAGGGCAUCACACACGCCCUCAACAUCGGCGAGGAGUAUUGCAUCACCGUCAUCGCCAAGAGCGCCGGCAACGGGGCCGUCACCUGCAGGAUACGCUCCACCUCCGGCAGUGACCUGGACAUCGACAUCGAGGAUAACGGAGACGGCACCUUCAGCAUCUACUACACGGUGAAGGACGCCGGGGAGUACACUCUCUCGGUGAAGUUCGGCGGCCAGCCCGUGCCUGAUGGAUUUUACUCCUUCACGGCUCAAACAGAGGAGGCGUUCCGUCAGACCCAGGCCAAGGUCAACGGAGUCCAGUCCAGCCCCGCGCACUCCAACUACUACCCACUCCAUUUGUCUAGCAUCCCCCUCCCCACCACAGGAGGUCACGUCACUGCUGAGGUCAAGAUGCCUUCCGGUAAAGUUGACGUCCCGGUGAUCGAGGACAACCGCGAUGGGACGGUGUCGGUGCGCUACAGCCCGCGCGAGGAAGGCCUGCACGAACUCCACGUCAAGUACAACGCCGAGCACGUGCAGGGCUCCCCCUUCAAGUUCCACGUGGACUCCAUCGCGUCGGGCUACGUGACGGCCCACGGGCCAGGCCUGGUCCACGGCAUCACCGGGGAGCCGUGCAACUUCUCCAUCUCCACCAAGGAUGCCGGUGCAGGUAGCUCCACCCUGCGCGGCGGGCUCUCCCUGGCGGUGGAGGGCUCCAGCAAGGCGGAGAUUUCCUGCCAUGACAACAAGGACGGGACGGUCUCAGUCUCAUACCUGCCCACCGCGCCGGGCGAGUACAAAGUCUCCGUCAAGUUCGCAGAGAAGCACAUUAAGGGGUCGCCAUACUCCGUCAAGAUCACUGGCGAGGGGCGGAAGAGGAACCAGAUCAGCGUGGGCUCCCAGUCUGAGGUCAGCCUGCCGGGGAAGGUCACCGAUUCUGACAUCAAGAGCCUCAAUGCCUCCAUCCAGGCGCCCUCAGGCCUGGAGGAGCCGUGCUUCCUCAAGAAGCUGCCCAACGGACACCUCGGCAUUUCCUUCACCCCCCGUGAGGUCGGCGAGCACCUGGUAUCCGUCAAGAGAAUGGGCAACCACAUUGCCAACUCGCCCUUCAAGAUCACUGUUGGCGAGAAAGAGGUUGGAGACGCCAGCAAGGUCAAGAUCACGGGCAAGAGUCUCUCCGAGGGACAGACACACAAGGAGAAUCAGUUCACCAUCGACACUCGCGACGCUGGCUAUGGCGGACUUUCCCUCUCCAUUGAAGGCCCGUCCAAGGCUGACAUCCAGUGCAAGGACAACGAGGAUGGAACAUUGACCAUCGGCUAUACUCCCACUGAGCCCGGCUAUUAUAUCAUCAACCUCAAGUUCGCCGACAACCAUGUGCCCGGGUCCCCCUUCACCGUCAAGGUGACAGGUGAGGGCACUAACAGACAGACGGAGAGGAUCAAGCGUCAGCGAGAGGCAGUGCCGCUCACAGAGGUCGGGUCCCAGUGCCGUCUGACCUUCAAGCUUCCCGGCAUUUCACCCUUCGACCUCGGGGCCACUGUGACCUCCCCAGGCGGAGUGACGGAGGCGGCGGAGAUUGGUGAGGUGGAGGACGGACUCUACGGGGUCAACUUUGUCCCCAAGGAGCUGGGCGUACACACUGUCUCCGUCAAGUACCAGGAAAUGCACAUCCCAGGCUCGCCCUUCCAGUUCACGGUCGGGCCCCUUAAGGACGGCGGGGCCCACAGGGUUCACGCAGGUGGCCCGGGAUUGGAGCGGGGCGAGCAAGCCAUGCCCAAUGAGUUCAAUGUUUGGACGCGAGAGGCGGGCGCUGGGUCGCUGGCCAUCUCCGUGGAAGGACCCAGCAAGGCGGAAAUCGACUUCAAGGAUCGCAAGGAUGGGUCAUGUUAUGUUUCCUACGUCGUGUCCGAGCAGGGCGAGUACCGUGUAGGGAUCAAGUUCAACGACAAGCACAUCCCCGACUCCCCCUACAAGGUGUACAUAACGCCGUCACUCGGGGAGGCUCGCAAGGUGGAAUUGGCGCAGCUGCCCGAGCAAGGAUCCAUGCCCAACAAGGCCCAGUCCCUCCUCGUCUGCAAGAACGGAGCCAAGGGAACGCUGGAUUGCAAGUCUGUGGCGCCCUCGGGAGCAGAGGAGGAUUGCUUCACGGACCUGCUGGACGGUGACCUGUACAGCGUGAGGUUCGUGCCCAAGGAGAUGGGCAUCCACUAUGUCCACAUCAAGUUCAAUGGUAUCCACAUCCCCGGCUCACCCUUCAGGCUCAGGAUUGGCAAGGACGAGGCUGACCCUGCCGCUGUCUCCGUCGCUGGCAAGGGGCUGGAGUCCUGUGUGUCUGGCCAGAAGACGGACUUCAUCGUUGACACCUGCAAUGCCGGAGCGGGCACGCUGGCGGUGACCAUUGAUGGGCCAUCCAAGGUGUCGAUGGACUGCACAGAGGUGGAGGAAGGUUACAAGGUGCGGUAUACCCCCCUCGUGCCCGGCGACUACUACAUUGCCGUCAAGUACAACGCCUAUCAUGUGGUCGGCUCCCCUUGGAAGGUGAAGUGUACUGGCGAGGCUCACGCUGAGAAGGGCACCAUCCAGGAGUCAUCGUCGGUGGUGGUGGAGACGGUAGAGAAGACCAAGAGUGGCGAGAAGGGACACCAGGGCACCAUCAUCCCCAAGUUCCACUCCGACGCGUCCAAGGUCACCAGCAAGGGUCUGGGGCUGAAGAAGGCACACAUCAACCGCCAGAACAACUUCACCGUCAACGCUUCUGGGGCUGGGAACAACAUUCUGUACGUGGGUGUCUAUGGCCCCAAGUCCCCCUGCGAGGAAGUGUACAUCAAACACGUCGGUCACAACAACUACCAGGUUCACUACAAGGUUCAUGAGAGGGGUGACCAUGUCCUCAUCGUGAAGUGGGGAGAGGACCACGUCCCCGGCUCCCCAUUCCCUGUGAACGUGUAGUUGCUCCCCACCACCACCACCACCUCUACCACCCCCAGCUCUCCCCUCCCCCCAGCCCCUGUGUUAGGUGUGACGGCGGGCGUGCUUGCGUGUUUGUGUGUGUGUGUGUUUUGCGUUUUGGUUUCCCUUCUCGUCUUGUUUUAUAAUUUGCUAACUCUAAAACGUGUGGUAGGUUAGGCUAGGUUAGGUUAGGUUAGGUUUAGGUCGGAGUGAGAUUUGUAAGUUCAGAUGACCUCUAGAAAUUACAGGAAAUAAGUUUAAAUUCUCCCUUGAAGUCCAGAAAUUGCAGGAAAUAAGUUUAAAUUCUCCCUUAAAGUCCAGAAAUUGCAGGAAAUAAGUUUAAAUUCUCCCUUGAAGUCAGGAAAUUGCAGGAAAUAAGUUAAGUCCUCCCUUGAAGUCAGGAAAUUGCAGGAAAUAAGUUUAAAUUCUCCCUUGAAGUCAGGAAAUUGCAGGAAAUAAGUUAAGUCCUCCCUUGAAGUCAGGAAAUUGCAGGAAAUAAGUUUAAAUUCUCCCUUGAAGUCCAGAAAUUGCAGGAAAUAAGUUUAAAUUCUCCCUUGAAGUCCAGAAAUUGCAGGAAAUAAGUUUAAAUUCUCCCUUGAAGUCCAGAAAUUGCAGGAAAUAAGUUUAAAUUCUCCCUUGAAGUCCAGAAAUUGCAGGAAAUAAUUUAAAUUCUCCCUUGAAGUCCAGAAAUUGCAGGAAAUAAGUUAAGUCCUCCCUUGAAGUCCAGAAAUUGCAGGAAAUAAGUUUAAAUUCUCCCUUGAAGUCCAGAAAUUGCAGGAAAUAAGUUUAAAUUCUCCCUUGAAGUCCAGAAAUUGCAGGAAAUAAGUUUAAAUUCUCCCUUGAAGUCCAGAAAUUGCAGGAAAUAAGUUUAAAUUCUCCCUUGAAGUCCAGAAAUUGCAGGAAAUAAUUUAAAUUCUCCCUUGAAGUCCAGAAAUUGCAGGAAAUAAGUUUAAAUUCUCCCUUGAAGUCCAGAAAUUGCAGGAAAUAAGUUUAAAUUCUCCCUUGAAGUCCAGAAAUUGCAGGAAAUAAGUUUAAAUUCUCCCUUGAAGUCCAGAAAUUGCAGGAAAUAAGUUAAGUCCUCCCUUGAAGUCCAGAAAUUGCAGGAAAUAAGUUAAAAUCCUCCCUUGAAGUCCAGAAAUUGCAGGAAAUAAGUUAAAAUCCUCCCUUGAAGUCCAGAAAUUGCAGGAAAUAAGUUAAAAUCCUCCCUUGAAGUCCAGAAAUUGCAGGAAAUAGUCCAGAAAUUGCAGGAAAUAAGUUAAAAUCCUCCCUUGAAGUCCAGAAAUUGCAGGAAAUAGUCCAGAAAUUGCAGGAAAUAAGUUAAGUCCUCCCUUGAAGUCCAGAAAUUGCAGGAAAUAAUCCAGAAAUUGCAGGAAAUAAGUUAAAAUCCUCCCUUGAAGUCCAGAAAUUGCAGGAAAUAAGUUUAAAUUCUCCCUUGAAGUCCAGAAAAACCCGAGAACCCGAUUGGCCCUCUUUUUAGCCUUUGAGAAUAGUUAUGUUUUAAGGGCGGAUGCAGCUAAGAUGAACACCAGCCUCAGACCUGCAAGUACUUCUACACCUGGAGAGUGCACUGAGAGAGCCCUUGACGUGCUGGUUGAGUCUUAACAUGAGGGUGAAUCUGCAUGUUACUAAUAGCGUCAUGAGCACCGCAGCAGCCCAAGAAAAACUGGCACUCUACACAUGCACUGAAGCCAGGCAUGGUGUGGAGGCCCAGGAGGAGUGAACGAGCCUUGCAUGUCUGUUCCCAUAAGUGUGAUGUCUACUUAACCCCAAUCCGUUUCCUACAGGUUGCAUGGCUCCCCGACAGCGCCCAGGACCGGAGGCACGGCAGUCCAUAUACAACCCAAGAUUUAACUCAUGUCCUGCCUGUUAUAUAUAGAGAUUCUGCUGCCCUGUGUUCCAGCGUGUGUUAUAGGUUGCUGUACAUACUCGUGUAAAAGUCAGAUUCUAGGAUUGACUUAUUGGGCUGGGGAUCAAGCAACUACUGAGGUCAUGUGGGGCUGGACAUUGAUGCCAGAAUUCAUAAAUGUUCUGCCACCGCAGUUUGUCCAUUUGAAAAGCCUCGUCGUGGAAGUUGCCGGGGUUUUCAUGAACUGUUUUACAGGGUUGGCAAUGAUUACACCAACCCUGCUGUUUUGUGACCCAGGUGAUAGUUUUACACGACCUCUGAGAGAGGCUCUUCAAACAGGCAAGCUAAGGUGUAGAUAGGUUUAGGAAUACAGGCUUAAAAAUCUUCCCCAGCUAACCAUACAACAUGACAGCUUUGCGGGUUGGAUUUUGAUCAACUUGUACACGAGUAUGUUCAGCGGCUGAGGAUGUCUUUGAGAACUGGUCAUUGCACUUCCCUUUCUUGAGCCCGAGUGUUGUUAUAGCAUGUGACCUGAUCUGACCUGAUGAUGGUGAUAUUUGUGACCCUGUGAUAGAUGUUGGUUCUAUUUUGUAUAUAUAUGUAAAUGUGUGUGUUUAUUCUUGUUGUUGUUGUUGUUGUUCAUGGCGAUUGGUGUGUGUGUAUGUGUGUGUGUGUGUGUUGUAGAGAAUGCUAGUUUCAUUUCUUACUUCUUUUUCUACUUUUUCCUCUCUCUCUGUCUCUCUCUCUCUCUCUCUCUCUCUCUCUCUCUCUGUGUGUGUGUGUCGUGUAAUUUCACUCUCCUCCUCUCCUCAACCGCCCUGCCCUGACCUCAUCUCUCCCUCACAGAUUGGCUACGUGGUUCGGGACAAGGGUAACUACAUCCUCAUAGUGAAGUGGGGCGAUGAUCACAUCCCUGGCUCGCCCUUCCAUGUCGAGGUGUAAGAAGCGGAGGCGGAAAAACAGUGGCGGGAAACAGAGAGAGAGAGAGAGAGAGUGACAGACGGAAGAUGUGAUAUACAGAUGACAAGAACUAUGCUCACACUCAUCCUUCCCUUCCGCCCCUGCCAACGCCUGCCUCCGCUCUCCACUACACAUAAGAAAAUGAUUCCUCUUCAUCAGUCACCAACUUCUCCUCCUCUUGAUUAUUUUCGGAUGUCCUUUAUUUUAUUUUCUGCACUAAGUAUUGCGUCGUUUUUUUCCCUCCGUUUUCUCUUCCUCUCGCUCUUGAUUUCACCUUCACUCUACGCCUUGGGUUUUUAUCUUUUACGUAACGGUUUGUUCGCUACGUAUCUCCGCAUUUUUUUCCAUUUUUUCAGCUUUUUGGUUCUGUGAUUUUGCCGUUUUCUCUCUCCCUCCUUCCCUCAGGGGCUUCGUGGUGCAAUGGUUAGCACACUCGGCUCACAACCGAGAGAGAGCCCGGGUUCGAUUCCCGGGCGGAGUGGAAAAAUUUGGGCGGCUUUUCCGAUACCCUACCUAGCCCCUGUCAACCAGGUAUUAUUAAUCGGGGGUUGUGUCCCGUCUCCUGGGGUCUGUUCCCUUCUCCUAUAAUUCCUUCCCCUUCUGUCUCUCUCCGGCAUAUGACCACAGAUGUUGCGCCGACUAAACAAAACUUCCCAAUUGUUCCCUUCUCCUAUAAUUCCUUCCCCUUCUGUCUCUCUCCGGCAUAUGACCACAGAUGUUGUGCCAACUAAACCAAACUUUCCAACUUUCCCUCCUUCCUUCCUUCCGCCAAUGUGUGUGUGCGUUUCUCUGGGGGUUACAUGAGUCGUGUCCGCUUAUGUUAUUUUUCCCUUUGCCGUUGAACGUACGUGAUUGAGUCUCUCGUUCCUCUCCGUUCCGUUAUGAUGAUUUUGCCGCCACACACUACUAGCCUGUACCCUUGCUUUUUUUAUUUGUCAUUAUUAUUAUUAUUAUUUUACGGUUAACUCGAGACAAAAGACACACGGUUAGCUUCUUCAAAGACAAAGACAGACACGGAAACAAACACUACUACAUACAAGCUUUGGUGUGAGUGGUUGAGACGAGACGAUGGAUUUUCAACACGAAACCACCACCAGAGAAAGCCAGUUUGAGAGGAAGUCUCUCUCACACACACACACACACACACACACACACGCAGACGUCUUCAUAUAUCUUUACGGUGGUGCUCCAUACAUUUUCCUAAAGGGGUCAGUGUGGCCUAUGUAUCUGCCUAUGUAUUUCAACGCUCAUCGUAGAAAACUGCCUAACCAUUGGAGAAGAUUGACUACACUCUCACUUGGAUUACUAUCUUGUGAAACACUUAUUAUAAUUAUUAUAAUUAUUAUUAUUAUUAUUAUUAUUAUCCUACUAUUAUUAUAUUAUUCUACUGCCUGUUCUUGUUGACUUGUUGAUAUGACGAGAACAAAGUUUUAUCUAAAUUAUUUGUUGGGUUAUAUACGUAUGUACUUAAAAAAAAAAUCCACUAAAAAACAUUAUUAUUAUUAUUAUUAUUAUCGCCAUAUCCGCUUUGAUUUGCUACGCAGGGAGGAGGCCGUCACGUGGGGUGAGGGGUGGGGGGUGCAAGGUUCUGCCCCCCCACCCAGCGCCCCCCUCGCUGCCGCCCCCAAACACUUGCUCCUGUGUUACCUUGGUAUAUAUAUUAUGGGAAGCUCCGCCUUGCCGAUGUUUUGUCCCGCAAGUCUAUGGGAUCGCAAGUGACGGGUGCCUGCUGACCCUUAGCAGCGACCCCUAGCGUCCUUCCUUGCCCUCCCCGCGACCCUUUAUAAGUGCCAACAACCGAGGGUGUGGUGAGGUCUGUCUCUGCCUGCCUUUGUCGGCCACUCAAACUGUCUGCUUGGUAUUCUGAUCCAGGGGGACGCUCCUCGCCCACAUGUUUAAUAUUUUACGAUGACAAAUAAACUGCUUAAGUGGG